rnacentral:rRNA from 1 species
UACGAAGGGGGCUAGCGUUGUUCGGAAUCACUGGGCGUAAAGCGCACGUAGGCGGACAUUUAAGUCAGGGGUGAAAUCCCGAGGCUCAACCUCGGAACUGCCUUUGAUACUGGGUGUCUUGAGUAUGGUAGAGGUUGGUGGAACUGCGAGUGUAGAGGUGAAAUUCGUAGAUAUUCGCAAGAACACCAGUGGCGAAGGCGGCUCACUGGCCCGGUACUGACGCUGAGGUGCGAAAGCGUGGGGAGCAAACAGG